AUUGAACGCUGGCGGCAGGCUUAACACAUGCAAGUCGAGCGGAGAUGAGGUGCUUGCACCUUAUCUUAGCGGCGGACGGGUGAGUAAUGCUUAGGAAUCUGCCUAUUAGUGGGGGACAACAUUCCGAAAGGAAUGCUAAUACCGCAUACGUCCUACGGGAGAAAGCAGGGGACCUUCGGGCCUUGCGCUAAUAGAUGAGCCUAAGUCGGAUUAGCUAGUUGGUGGGGUAAAGGCCUACCAAGGCGACGAUCUGUAGCGGGUCUGAGAGGAUGAUCCGCCACACUGGGACUGAGACACGGCCCAGACUCCUACGGGAGGCAGCAGUGGGGAAUAUUGGACAAUGGGCGGAAGCCUGAUCCAGCCAUGCCGCGUGUGUGAAGAAGGCCUUUUGGUUGUGAAGCACUUUAAGCGAGGAGGAGGCUACUUAGAUUAAUACUCUAGGAUAGUGGACGUUACUCGCAGAAUAAGCACCGGCUAACUCUGUGCCAGCAGCCGCAGUAACAC
rnacentral:rRNA from 1 species